rnacentral:rRNA from 1 species
AUUGAACGCUGGCGGCAUGCCUUACACAUGCAAGUCGAACGGCAGCACGGGAGCAAUCCUGGUGGCGAGUGGCGAACGGGUGAGUAAUAUAUCGGAACGUGCCCAGUCGUGGGGGAUAACGCAGCGAAAGCUGUGCUAAUACCGCAUACGAUCUACGGAUGAAAGCGGGGGAUCGCAAGACCUCGCGCGAUUGGAGCGGCCGAUAUCAGAUUAGCUAGUUGGUGGGGUAAAGGCCCACCAAGGCGACGAUCUGUAGCUGGUCUGAGAGGACGACCAGCCACACUGGAACUGAGACACGGUCCAGACUCCUACGGGAGGAAGCAGUGGGGAAUUUUGGACAAUGGGCGAAAGCCUGAUCCAGCAAUGCCGCGUGCAGGACGAAGGCCUUCGGGUUGUAAACUGCUUUUGUACGGAACGAAACGGUCUCUCCUAAUAAAGGGGGCUAAUGACGGUACCGUAAGAAUAAGCACCGGCUAACUACGUGCCAGCCGCCGCCGUAA